GUUAGUUGUUCUGCUCAGCUAUUGGUCAGUGCUGCAGUGGGCCCUGUCAACAAGUAAUGAGGGACCAUUAGGGAAGUGAUUCAGCCAAGGGUCAGUGGUGUGGUGGUCAUCAGGUGGAGAGUGAGGACACAGAGUAACAGGCAGAGAUUUGCAGGAACAUCGUUACCUGACCAUGAUCCAACCUCAAGAGCAAAGGAUCUGACACCAAGAAGGCUGCAACAACUAACCACAUGCCUCCCUUAGCUUCUGCUUUUAAAGGGGCUUGCUGAAAGCUUUCAGUAACUUUCAGAUGGGAGGGCAUGAGCCUCCCAUCUCCUGUAUGAACCUGUAAUAAACCUUUCUCUGUCCAAAACGCUAA